UACGAAGGGGGCUAGCGUUGUUCGGAAUUACUGGGCGUAAAGCGUGCGCAGGCGGCCAUCCAAGUCAGUGGUGAAAGCCCGGAGCUCAACUCCGGAAUUGCCAUUGAAACUGUUUGGCUCGAGUACGAGAGAGGUGAGUGGAAUUCCCAGUGUAGCGGUGAAAUGCGUAGAUAUCGGGAAGAACACCAAAGGCGAAAGCGCUCUGCUGGGCCGAAACUGACACUGAGAGACGGAAAGCUAAGGGGAGCGAAUGGG
rnacentral:rRNA from 1 species